GUACGUGGCGUUGUUACUAGAUCAAUGCAGAACUGAAUCUGCCUUUGGGACCAGAUCUGACUUAGAACAGAUCAAUAUCCCGCAUGUUCUGUUUUCCAACCUAUAUACCGCAAACAGGGCUCACAAAUAAUACUAGAUCUGGAUCCCAGAACUAGUAUUCUGAUUAAAUAGAGGGAGAAGAGAAAGUACAACUAAGGACAAAGAUCCGGUCUCUUUGCCUUAGAGGAAUCGUAUCAGGUUUUAUGGCAGGAUUUUGAUAUAGAAGAUCAGCCUGCGAUGCAUGCUCUUGAAAAUUAAAAGACAAUUUAAAUGUAAACUUUAAAUUUAAUUACAAGAAAUAGAUUACAUAGAGAUCUUACAAGUUUGCUUGGAUCCCGAGAGCCUUGUAGAAAGAAAGAAGGAAAAUAAAGAAAGAAAAUGUUUACAAUAUUGCUUUACAAUUGGAGAAAAUGGAAAAGAUUACAAGACAGGAAAAUUUCCUUAAGGUCUUGUUUGAUUUAUCGUAGAGAGAAUCCUUGCUCUUCCCCCUAAAAAAAAAAGACUCUGCCUUUCUUACGAGAGAGAGGAGAAUAAAUAAGCUGGAAGACUCGAGGCAAGAUCCACGAAUCUCGGGGGUCUUCAUGGGGCUUUU
rnacentral:lncRNA from 1 species